rnacentral:tRNA from 1 species
GCGACAUUGGUGUAGUGGUUAACAUGGUGUGUCCAUAUGUAAAGGCACUUCCAGGUCUACACACAGACCCAGGUUCGAAUCCUGGAUGUCGCG